CGGCUCUCCUGGAGGUUGUUGAUCAUGAGGUUGAGAUUCAGCUUCAGAUCUUCGCCCCGGCUGUUUGACUUGUUGACCGUUCCUCGACGUACUGUGGCGGCCGUUGGCCGACGUAGUUCUGAUAGGGGUAGGGGAAAACGAACUCGAAAAUGGCGCCGAAAAACUCCCAUGUAAUUGGUAAUGGGACAGGCCGGUGAAUGGGGAAAAAAAAAGGGAAAAGAAAUUAAUAAAGCGGGGCCACACGGAGGAAUUUUGGAAUCGAG
rnacentral:lncRNA from 1 species